GCCAGCAUGGUGUAGUGGUUUCAGUAUUUGACUAUGACUCUGGAGAACAGGGUUCAAAUCCCCACUUAGGCA